ACGGAGACAUGUUUGGGGAAGUUGGUGCUCUGUGUGGCAUACCCCAGCCAUUUACCUGCCGCACCGCUACCCUGUCACAGCUCUUGAGAAUAAGCAAGAUAAGACUAACAGAGAUCAUUCAAGAACACAGGGAAGACAGCAAUAUUCUAAUGAACAAUCUAUUCCAGGUACAGUUUCAUUUCUUUAAGGAAGCUAAAUAUAUGGCAGCUAAUUUCAACUAAACUGAAGUUUGUAACUCUUUAUGUCAAUGCACAGAAGCUGAAGCUGCAGCAAAAUUCACCUGAAUUGAAUCAACUAGACCGAAUAUUCAUGCAUAAGUAUGAGCCAUUUCAUGUUUCUCAAGAAGCAUGGUUGUUGCCUCAGCCAUACUUACAAUACACAGAGCACAAAUGUGAAGACAUUAGUAAGAAGGUCCCAACCUUCAUUGGUGAUAAUGGUUCAACAAAAAUAGUGGCAGAAACAAACCAAUUGAGGAAGCCACAGCACGAAAACAGUCAUGACCAAUCAAACUGCAAUCACGGGGCGACAGGUGGGAUGGCAGGCAAAGAAGAGGAUCAUGAUGAGGUUCACAUAAACUGUGAGACCAAAAAAGGAACUGAAGAGUUCUGCAUUCAGAUAAAAUCUGAAGAUUGCGAUGCAGCAAGCAGUCGGCAAACAAGCCAUGAAACGGUGAAGCUGAGGUCUUCUCACAAUAUAUCGGAGGGCACAACAAGGAGAAGAAAUCAAGAUAGUAGUUACAUAAAAGCAUCCAACAAAAGAGUUACAGUUCAUGCAUAUCCUCAUAAUGGGACAGGUUCUUUAGUACAGAAUGGGAAGCUUAUCAAUCUGCCUGGUUCACUGGAGGAACUUUUUGAAAUCGGAAGUAAGUAAAAGUUUCAAGAUUUUAAUUACAAAUUGGGUUAGUGUGCAGAUAGCAGAUGUACAUAGAAAUUUACAAUAGGUUUUUUAACAUUUCAGGUCAGAAGUUUCCAGGUUUCCAUCCUACAAAACUGGUCACUAGAGACUAUGCCGAAAUAGAUGACAUCAGUGUUAUUCGAGAUGGUGACCACCUAUUCCUUCUUCAGAUGUAGAACCAGAAUAGAAUUAACCUAAUUUAACCUAACAAUAAAGAAGGCUUCAAGUUCUCCAAUCUGGCAAAAGCAGAAAAGGCAAGUUGUUGGAGAUAUGAAGAGGAAGAAUUUUGACCCUUUUUCCUCAUUUCUGACAUCAUGUAAAAUGUGUAUUUAAUAAUAAGCAUCUGAUACAUAAUUGAAUUUCCUUAAAAUGCUCAUUAUAAAGGUGAGACUGUAAAAAACACCAGUAAUGGGAAUUAAUAACUAAUGCAUUAUAAUGGAAUAAAAAUUGAAAAAUCUGAAAGCUUGGGUUUUGGAACUAUGAGAGCCCUGAGACGAAACAUCUAGAAAGAGUUGUUUUUCCGCAGCCUGCCGGGGUUUGAUUCUCACCAAAAUCUUGCUCUAGUCUCAUUCCAAGUUGUUAUUCAACAGAAUGGCAAUAUUCCUAUAUUAACCACGAAGCGGGAAAAGAUAUGGCUCAAGCAGAAAUGAGGGGGAAAAGGAAUUAGCACAUUAGUAUGUAGACACCAGUACACCACUACAAAUCAUUUUAUUGGGUCAAUGUAAAUCAGUAUGAAGUAUCCAACAAUAACACCAUGCAUUUAGAGAUGAGCACAUGAAUGCAGUACACUCAAGAAAGUAAAUAUGUAUGGGACCAUAGACAGAGUUCACACAAAAAAACACUUCAGUCAUCAUUUCAGCUUCCAAACUCCUUUUUUAGCAUAUUUUCUAGAUGUUUCAGGAAAAAGAAUAAGUCACUGGACACUUCCCGCAUGCAGGAAGAGAGAGAGGAUAAAGCAUAUGCAAUAGACUCAGGCACCAAAAUUGAAUUAAAAAUGUAAUAUAACCAAUGCCUCUCUCACCCAAGCAUUUGCGCACUGGGAUGGUCCUUGCCAAAAAAUCUGGAAGAUGGCCGAGUGGGCAUUUGCAAGAAAACAGCAUAUGAGCAGAAUCUCAAACUCCACGUGGCUAUGAGGUGUUCUUGGCAAUUUCCCCUACAAAAGUAGCCCAAUCAUUUUGCACGAGGCCACCAGAGACAAAGACCCAAGCAUUCCCGUGCACAUAGGUGGGCUCGGGCGCUAGGCUGUGCCUGUGCUACAAUCAGCCCAAGCCUUUGGAUUUCGAUUCAAUCAUAGAGGCCUCGUUUAAAAUACGAAAAAUCCCUCGAUUCCACAUGAACUGAACUGUUGGCAGCCUUAAAAUCGCUGUGCGUAACGGGACCAAAAGGACACGGCAGAUUAAGCCGGACCUUGCACGACAAACCAGGGCCGAAAUGCCAAAGCCUGGUCAGGACCAUAAGCAGUGACCAGACAAAACUUUCCUGAGAAAGCCAACAUGGAAAUGUACGUUCCCCACCCCCACUUGGACUUGCUUCGCCCGGAAUAGAACGCGAAACAUGUGCGAAUCGGAGAAUGAUCUCCCUAAGUUUAACAGACAGAUCACAGCAAUUAGUAACAAAAACGUUAGUGUUGCACUCAGCAAUUCGGCGAUUCGGACAGCAGAUUCGAGUCCGCACGCGGGAUGGGAAGAGCCACGCGUGGUGGUAGGUCAGGUCACCUGGACGGAUGGAAGGGACGACGAGGCCGGUCGGAGGGAGCAGCGGCGUGUGGGGUUCCGGUUUCGAAACCGACGGCGGAGGAAUCUCGAGUGUGGCGGUAGGCCAGGCCGCCACCCUCGGCAGUCGGUCUGCAGCGCCGCCCCUCGAGAAUGCGGACGAGCGCGCGGCAAAGGAGAGCGGCCGCCCGCAUUGUUGGUUGCUCGAUCGCCGCCGCGCCGCGACGACGGAUAAGGAGAGCGGUCGCCGGUCAGGGCGCGUGGAGUGGGGCCGUG
rnacentral:lncRNA from 1 species